rnacentral:rRNA from 1 species
AUUGAACGCUGGCGGCAGGCUUAACACAUGCAAGUCGAGCGGGGUGAUGGUGCUUGCACUAUCACUUAGCGGCGGACGGGUGAGUAAUGCUUAGGAAUCUGCCUAUUAGUGGGGGACAACAUCUCGAAAGGGAUGCUAAUACCGCAUACGUCCUACGGGAGAAAGCAGGGGGUCACUUGUGACCUUGCGCUAAUAGAUGAGCCUAAGUCGGAUUAGCUAGUUGGUGGGGUAAAGGCCUACCAAGGCGACGAUCUGUAGCGGGUCUGAGAGGAUGAUCCGCCACACUAGGACUGAGAUACGGCCCAGACUCCUACGGGAGGCAGCAGUGGGGAAUAUUGGACAAUGGGUGGAACCCUGAUCCAGCCAUGCCGCGUGUGUGAAGAAGGCCUUAUGGUUGUAAAGCACUUUAAGCGAGGAGGAGGCUCUUUUGGUUAAUACCCAAGAUGAGUGGACGUUACUCGCAGAAUAAGCACCGGCUAACUCUGUGCCAGCCGCCGCGGUAA